rnacentral:rRNA from 1 species
AACGAACGCUGGCGGCAUGCCUAACACAUGCAAGUCGAACGAGACCUUCGGGUCUAGUGGCGCACGGGUGCGUAACGCGUGGGAACCUGCCCUUAGGUUCGGAAUAACUCCCCGAAAGGGGUGCUAAUACCGGUUAAUGUCUUCGGACCAAAGAUUUAUCGCCUUUGGAUGGGCCCUCGUUGGAUUAGCCAGUUGGUAGGGUAAAAGCCUACCAAGGCGACGAUCCAUAGCUGGUCUGAGAGGAUGAUCAGCCACACUGGGACUGAGACACGGCCCAGACUCCUACGGGAGGCAGCAGUGGGGAAUAUUGGACAAGGGGCGAAAGCCUGAUACAGCAAUGCCGCGUGAGUGAGGAAGGGCUUAGGGUUGUAAAGCUCUUUUACCCGGGAUGAUAAUGACAGUACCGGGAGAAUAAGCUCCGGCUAACUCCGUG